rnacentral:rRNA from 1 species
GUGUCAGCCGCCGCGGUAAUACGAAAGGGGCUAGCGUUGUUCGGAAUUACUGGGCGUAAAGCGCGCGUAGGCGGCCUUGCAAGUUGGGGGUGAAAUCCCGGAGCUCAACUCCGGAACUGCCUUCAAAACUGCAAAGCUAGAGGAUGCGAGAGGUGAGCGGAAUUCCGAGUGUAGAGGUGAAAUUCGUAGAUAUUCGGAAGAACACCAGUGGCGAAGGCGGCUCACUGGCGCAUUUCUGACGCUGAGGCGCGAAAGCGUGGGGAGCAAACAGGAUUAGAUACCCUGGUAGUCCACGCCGUAAACGAUGAGGGCUAGUUGUCAGGCGGCAUGCCGUUUGGUGACGCAGUUAACGCAUUAAGCCCUCCGCCUGGGGAGUACGGUCGCAAGACUAAAACUUAAAGGAAUUGGCGGGG